rnacentral:rRNA from 1 species
GAAACUGCGAAUGGCUCCGUAAAUCAUUAUGAAUAAUUGAUAUACCUACUAUUGGUACGUUUGUGAGAGGGGGGGGUUUUUGCGCAAAACCCCGACUUCGGAAGGGGUGUAUUUAUUAGAUAAAAAACCAAUGCCCUUCGGGGCUCCUUGGUGAUUCAUAAUAACUUCACGAAUCGCAUGGCCUUGCGCCGGCGAUGGUUCAUUUAAAUUUCUGCCCUAUCAGGGGUUCGAUGGUAGGAUAGUGGCCUACCAUGGUGGCAACGGGUAACGGGGAAUUAGGGUUCGAUUCCGGAGAGGGAGCCUGAGAAACGGCUACCACAUCCAAGGAAGGCAGCAGGCGCGCAAAUUACCCAAUCCCGAUACGGGGAGGUAGUGACAAUAAAUACUGAUACAGGGCUCUUUUGGGUCUUGUAAUUGGAAUGAGAACAAUCUAAACACCUUAACGAGGAACAAUUGGAGGGCAAGUCUGGUGCCAGCAGCCGCGGUAAUUCCAGCUCCAAUAGCGUAUAUUAAAGUUGUUGCAGUUAAAAAGCUCGUAGUUGAACCUUGGGCCCGUCCUGCCGGUCCGCCUCACCGCGAGUACUGGUCCGGAUGGGCCUUUCUUUCUGGGGAAUCCUAUGGCCUCACUGGCUGUGGUGGGAAACAGGACUUUUACUGUGAAAAAAUUAGAGUGUUCAAAGCAGGCCUUUGCUCGGAUACAUUAGCAUGGAAUAAUAGAAUAGGACGUGCGGUUCUAUUUUGUUGGUUUCUAGGACCGCCGUAAUGAUUAAUAGGGAUAGUCGGGGGCGUCAGUAUUCAGCUGUCAGAGGUGAAAUUCUUGGAUUUGCUGAAGACUAACUACUGCGAAAGCACCCGCCAAGGAUGUUUUCAUUAAUCAGGGAACGAAAGUUAGGGGAUCGAAGACGAUCAGAUACCGUCGUAGUCUUAACCAUAAACUAUGCCGACUAGGGAUCGGGCGGGGUUUCUAUGAUGACCCGCUCGGCACCUUACGAGAAAUCAAAGUUUUUGGGUUCUGGGGGGAGUAUGGUCGCAAGGCUGAAACUUAAAGAAAUUGACGGAAGGGCACCACAAGGCGUGGCCUGCGGCUUAAUUUGACUCAACACGGGGAAACUCACCAGGUCCAGACAAAAUAAGGAUUGACAGAUUGAGAGCUCUUUCUUAACCUUUUGGAUGGUGGUGCAUGGCCGUUCUUAGUUGGUGGAGUGAUUUGUCUGCUUAAUUGCGAUAACGAACGAGCCCUCGGCCCUUAAAUAGCCCGGUCGCGUGUGCGCGCCGCUGCUCCUUAGGGGCCUCCCCAAAAAAAAAAAAAGAUGUGAACUAACAGGUAUGUGAUGUUC